rnacentral:rRNA from 1 species
AAACCAGCACCUCAAGUGGUCAGGAGGAUUAUUGGGCCUAAAGCAUCCGUAGCCUGCUUUGUUAGUUUUCGGUUAAAUCUAUGUGCUCAACGCAUAGGCUGCCGAAAAUACUGCAGAGCUAGGGAGUGGGAGAGGUAGACGGUACUCGAUAGGAAGGGGUAAAAUCCUNUGAUCUACUGAUGACCACCUGUGGCGAAGGCGGUCUACCAGAACACGUUCGACGGUGAGGGAUGAAAGCUGGGGGAGCAAACCGGAUUAGAUACCCGGGUAGUCCCAGCUGUAAACGAUGCAGACUCGGUAAUGCAUUGGCAUAUAGCCAGUGCAGUGUCGCAGGGAAGCCGUUAAGUCUGCCGCCUGGGAAGUACGUACGCAAGUAUGAAACUUAAAGGAAUUGGCGGGGGAGCACCACAAGGGGUGAAGCCUGCGGUUCAAUUGGAGUCAACGCCAGAAAUCUUACCCGGAGAGACAGCAGAAUGAAGGUCAAGCUGAAGACUUUACCAGACAAGCUGAGAGGUGGUGCAUGGCCGUCGCCAGCUCGUGCUGUGAGAUGUCCUGUUAAGUCAGGUAACGAGCGAGAUCCCUGCCACUAGUUGCUAUCAUUAUUCUCAGGAAUAGUGGGGCGAAUUAGUGGGACUGCCGUUGUUAAAACGGAGGAAGGAAGGGGCUACGGCAGGUCAGUAUGCCCCGAAACUCUGGGGCCACACGCGGGCUGCAAUGGUAGUGACAAUGAGUUCCAAACUCGAAAGAGAGUGGCAAUCUCUAAACACUACCACAGUUAUGACUGAGGGCUGCAACUCGCCCUCACGAAUAUGGAAUCCCUAGUAACCGCGUGUCAUUACCGCGCGGUGAAUACGUCCCUGCUCCUUGCACACACCGCCCGUCGUUUCAUCGAAGUUUGCUUUUAGCGAGGUGAUGUUUAAUUGGCA